UUAAGCAUAUCAAUAAGCGGAGGAAAAGAAACCAACAGGGAUUGCCUCAGUAACGGCGAGUGAAGCGGCAACAGCUCAAAUUUGAAAUCUGGCCCUUUCAGGGUCCGAGUUGUAAUUUGUAGAGGAUGUUUCGGCGAGUGCUCCCGUCUAAGUUCCUUGGAACAGGACGUCAUAGAGGGUGAGAAUCCCGUAUGUGAUGGGUUGCGCGAGCCAUGUGAAACUCCUUCGACGAGUCGAGUUGUUUGGGAAUGCAGCUCUAAAUGGGAGGUAAAUUUCUUCUAAAGCUAAAUACCGGCCAGAGACCGAUAGCGCACAAGUAGAGUGAUCGAAAGAUGAAAAGCACUUUGGAAAGAGAGUUAAAAAGUACGUGAAAUUGUUGAAAGGGAAGCGCUUGCAACCAGACUUGCCCGCAGUUGCUCAACCCGCCUCCUGGUGGGUGUACUCUUCUGCGGUCAGGCUAGCAUCAGUUCGAGCGGCCGGAUAAAGGCGUCAGGAAUGUAGCUCCUCUCGGGGAGUGUUAUAGCCUGGCGUGGCAUGCGGCCAGCUCGGACUGAGGAUCUCGCUUCGGCUAGGAUGCUGGCGUAAUGGUUGUAAGCGGCCCGUCUUGAAACACGGACCAAGGAGUCUAACAUCUAUGCGAGUGUUUGGGUGUCAAACCCAUGCGCGUAAUGAAAGUGAACGGAGGUGGGAACCCUUACGGGUGCACCAUCGACCGAUCCUGAUGUCUUCGGAUGGAUUUGAGUAAGAGCAUAGCUGUUGGGACCCGAAAGAUGGUGAACUAUGCCUGAAUAGGGUGAAGUCAGAGGAAACUCUGAUGGAGGCUCGCAGCGGUUCUGACGUGCAAAUCGAUCGUCAAAUUUGGGUAUAGGGGCGAAAGACUAAUCGAACCAUCUAGUAGCUGGUUCCUGCCGAAGUUUCCCCUCAGGA
rnacentral:rRNA from 1 species